GAAGAAGUGAAUUAAGGGCAUUUGGUGGAUGCCUUGGCAUGCACAGGCGAAGAAGGACGUGAUACGCUGCGAAAAGCCGUGGGGAGCUGCGAAUAAGCUUUGAUCCAUGGAUCUCCGAAUGGGGCAACCCACCUUAAAUGCUUGGAAAAUCCAGUCUGUUUUAACGAACGGCCUGGGUUUCCAAGCAUUGUGAUAAGGUAUCUUACUUUCGAAUACAUAGGGGUAAGAAGCGAACGCAGGGAACUGAAACAUCUAAGUACCUGCAGGAAAGGACAUCAACCGAGACUCCGCAAGUAGUGGCGAGCGAACGCGGACCAGGCCAGUGGCAAUGAUGAAUAAAGCGGAACGAU
rnacentral:rRNA from 1 species